CGGCGGAGCCCCCGGCGGCACCCAACGGCAGCGGCGGCGCGGAGGGCGCGCCCGGCAGUGCGGGACGGCGCAAGCGGGAGUUCAGACUUUAAAAGCGCAGCAGAAAGGGGAGACUAGGGGAAUCAACAGAAAAGAAGCAGAUGAAACAAUUGGAAGUUAGAUAUAUACCUUCUUGAAGGACAUAAAUGAAGAAAUUGGUAAGUCAUUAUAGUUUGAAAGCAAGUAAUUUUUUUUGGUAUUUUCUGAAAAGGAGAGAAAAUAGGUAGAGAAGUAUGAUUUUAUGGUAAAAACUGCUUCGGGAGGGUACUUAUGUUCCCUUUCUGAGAGGCUUGCUAGCUGUGAUUCCUCAAAACAUUAUUGUAAAGAUGAAAAACAUUCACCACAGCCUCAGAAGAAUUUAAAAAUUUGCACAGUGUUUCAGAGAAUAAAUGUGACCUAUUAGCGAAGAAUACUUUUCAACAGUAAUUUUCAACAAAUUGGUUUGUUUUCCACUACUGUAUAACGUCAGCUCCUUUUCUUUUUCAUUAGAAGACUAGUCAAUUUUUUGAAGCUCUGAGUGGAAAAAAAACACAAAGAAAGAAAAGUGUAAUUGUUAAAAGUAGCUUAAGUGCACACAGUAAAAAAUUUGAUCAUUUUCUGCUCUGUUACCAAUUUUAUUCUUGGUAUUGCUGUUUCUGUGGAAGAAACUAACAAAAUCUUGUUUACUACUAACACCUUUUUCUGCCGUCCUCUGUGAAUCCCAGAUGUUUGGUCACAAACUGUGCAGGAGCAAAAGUUGGGCAUUUCCAAAUGACCUUUUUUGAUUCUCAUUCAAAAACCUGCAGUCACUUAAACUCGCCUGCUUGACAGUACACACACCCACACAAACAGGACAUUGUUCUCUGUUCAUCAUGCUUGAAAACCAUGUCUGAACUUAUGUGUUUAAAAAAAAAAAUCAUGUGGACUUAGCUGUGGAUAGACAUUUCAUUAGUAUGGCCUGCAGCAUAUUUUUCACAGAAUAGGUGCAGUGUAGUUUUAAAAAGUAGGACGGGAUAAUGCCACUUUCCCAGGGCAAUGCAGUUCUUUUCUUACCAUUGUUUUAUGAGUUGGCUGACAGCACAAAUCAGCCACAUAGCUAUUCAAGUGCCUGAAUCAGAGACACUCAAAGUGGCAUAGGCUCUAACACCUUCCUUACACUAGAUUGUAGCUGAAUUAGAAAAUUAGACUGAGUGUAAAUCAGGGUUUGGAUCAAGAGGAAAAGCAAUGGUUCCAGCUUUAAUGAACAAAAUAGUACUAUAAAUUUAUGAACAGAGACAGACACAGUGGUAGUCCAUGGAUCUAGACCUGGUACCCAUGGCCGUGGAGACAGACUUCGAGUCCAGAGGUAGAAUCUGCUACUGAAAAGUACUGCAGCCCAAUGGGCACCAGAAAUCAGUCGUAGCCAGGCAAGGAAGCAUAUUUAAGCCAUUGACACGUUGCAUAGGGGACUUUGGUCAAACUGGAUGCAAGCUCCAUUUAGUCUUACAGCUGUCCCAACACAAUUGCUGUAAGUCUACAAGCACCCUUGAAGUUGGAUGUGAUAUUCUCAGGCACAUUUUUUGCUCUUUAUUAGCACUUUGACAGCCAAGCAGGCCUGGAGAAGUACAUAGCCAUUUGCUACUUCAGAUGAAUUACCUCUCACCUAACAGAAAUUUUUCCAAGGUAGGAAUAUCAUUCAGGUGCAAAUCAUACAUUUUCUUAUAAUAUAAUAGGUCUGCUAAGCCUGGAGCUGCUUUUCUUCAUUUGGACAGGUAUUUCUUAACCAUGUUUCACCUGAACAGCAAAGAGGUGUGUUCGAUCAGGCACACUUACGUGAUGGGCUUCCAGGAAGGAUCAAAUUAUUAUUUGAGAGAAAAAGUCCUGGUUAAUUAUGGUUCACAUAAGCCUCACUUGAUCAUGUCUACCUUGUUAAAGGAGUUCACAUCUUUAACUGUUGUAAUACUGGAACAAUUUAAUUUUUAAGAUGUUAAACUGCUCUGUGACCUGUCUAAGAGGUAACUCCUGUUAACAAAGCGGGCAGUUCUCGCAUGGAUAUCAGCACAUACUGCUCUCAGAGGGAAAUGGGAACUGUGUGCACAUAGCUACCAAGCAGAACAUUCCCAUCCAGUUUUGCCCCAAUACACAAACUGUUGCCAAAACACCUGGUCCUGCUGCAAAGAAUGAGAGCAAAGCCUUGUGUAGCUACUAGGGAUCAUUUAGGCUCCAGGUCAGAAAAAAAUCAUUGAAAUUAACAGAACUGAAGUGCAUGCUUGAGUGGUUUGCUGAAUAAGACUGAUUUGCUCAGCUGAGACUUCUGCCUUUGAAGAGUCAAUGCUACCAGCCCAGCUCUCAUAGGCAGCCUUACAAUAAUGAACACACUCUGCAUUUUGUUAAGUAAGAACAUGAAAAAUACCACCAGGUGAGUAAGCAGAUUGCAGUUUCAAUGGUGUUUGCAUCACAAACACUGAGGGUUUUUUUUUAAUUAUUAUGAAAAGCUCUUUGACAAUGUCAUUUUAAGUAAGUCUUUCUCUACAAAGCUUUUUUAUUUAUUCUUUACAAUUUCCAUCAUCAGAUAUUAGCUUCUUCAAAGGAAGAACAACUUGUCAGAAAAAAAUGCAUGUUUCAGAAUUUAAUGAGAACAUUUAUUCUUUCUUUUCUCUGAAGAGGAUUAUAAUGUGAUGGGUGAAAUAUAAAGAAUAAUUAGUCCCAUUGGAGAGCAAAUUCCAAACAAUAUUUUCUCUUUUCACGAUCUGAACUGGGUGAACAGGGUUUGGUUUUGGUUCACCAGCCAAGGAAAUUAUUAAUGAAUUCCAAUUACAAAAUCUUUAUACUUGUUGAUGUGCAAACCUUAGAACAGCCAGCUUGGCUUUCAGAUCCCCAGAUAUGCUUCCAAGAAGUGGGUUAGAAAAAUCAUCAUUUCACUUUUAAGUUGUGUAGACCUGUUCUGGAUAUUGUCAUUGUUUUAUAGCAAUGCUGUUCAGAGCGCAGGCCAGCUGUAUAGCUAGAUAGACAGGUUACUUUUCCAUAUGUGAAGUGUCAAAUGAGUAGUCUUUGAAAAGGUUUUUUGAACACAUGAUUUCAGAUCCUCAGCCAAUCUAUUUAUUCUGCAUAGCACUAAAGAUAUGAACUAGCUAAGAGUUUUGUUCUGUAAUCUCAGAAUUGCUAAAUUAAGGCAUAACAGAGCCAAGGGAUCACAACAGGCUAAAGAUGAGAAAAGAUGUGGUUAUAUUAAUGAAAAAACAUAAGAUAUGUUUGUCAUACUGUUAGUUUCAGUAUGUCUUUAGUUUUUCAUUAAGAGCAAAUCCUUUAAAAAGUGCUGAGGGGAUUUUCUCAGGGUGCAGUCUGAGAAAACGGGUGGAACCAUUAGGGAACAGAGCUAGAGUGAGGACCACGGCUAAUUAAAGUGGUCAAGCAUAACUGGCGUAAUGGCCAUGAGAGAAAGAAGGCAGUAUCAGUAUCAGCAUAAAAAGGAAUUGUUCAGGGGCUGGAAAAAAACCAGCUGGCCAGCUAUGCAAGGGGACUAAUCUCUACGUUAGAGUCCUCGUGUUAUCUCAGCUCAGAACUGUACUUGGCAAGAGUUUAUGCUGCUCUUAGAGGCCUCUGGUAAGUCAUCUGGUGUAAUCAAGCACAAUUUCAGACACACUCCGCCCCCGUUCAUCAUAUUGAUGAGGCUAACAUGACAAAAGCAAGCGUACAGAUACAGAGACAGAUACCUGUUAUACUGUCCAGGGCCCUUCCACGCAGGCAUUUGGGAAAAGACUGGGGAAACUACAAAGGAAUUUCUGAGUCUCGUUUUCCUGAUUCACAGUCCUGGAAUCAAUGCCAGACUGCCAGACUUAUCUGGCUCCCAAAGAAGCCUCUGUCAUCCUUGUUAUAUGUUGAAAUAAUCUAUAGUGAAACGCAAUAGUAGAUUUUUUUCAGACUGGGUAUUAAUGUGGAAAGGAUAGGGCAUUAUUCCUCAGGGAAAUUUAUUCUCCUGACACUGUCUUUCUGAGAUGAUCCUGUUUGUUUGGAUUCUUUGCCCAAAGGGGCUGGUCAUGACUUGGGCGAAGAUUACUUUUGUCUCAAGAAAAACCCUAAAACCAGAAAAUAACUUUCUACUUGCAGUUCCAGGGGGGAAGAGUUUGGAAAGGGAGCAAGUUUCGAGAUAGCUGCUCAUUUCCCGUUGUGACUGGAAACUAAUUGUUGCAGCCACAGAAUACAAAAUGAAAGGGAAGCAACACAUAAAAAUGCAGCAGUAACAGCCCUGGCUGCUAAACUAACAGAAUUAUAUUAUCUGUCUGAGAGACCAUGUUGAAAACUUGCUGUAUUCCAAAUCAUAUUCUUUUUUUCUGAUGGGAUAAGACAACAUCUUGCUUUAGUUUUUUACUGCAAAUGUCAAAAAAAUAAAUGAUUUGAACCAGACGUAUGAUAUUUGUGCACAUUUUAGGGCAGCUCCUAUUUAACAGAUGCCUUGUAUUAAUAAUAUACAGUUGUGACAGGAAAUGUGGUUUAGGUUCCUGGAAAAACAUAAAAGCUAAUUCCAUUACUCCAUUUCAUGGUGCUUUUCCUCAAAUGCUAGACUGGUUUUGAUUAUACUGAAACCUUAUAGUGAGAAAACUUUGUCAAGAGUAUUAACUUAUCGGUGCUUAUCCUCCUUCCUACACGUCUCCUCCCGCUGACCUACAUUCUGCGCUACCUGUGAACAAGCCUAAAACACACAGACAACACUGUCCUACAAGACCUGGUAAUACUGCAGAGUUCUUGUGCUUAGGCUGUUUCAAUUAUUAUUUUUCCUUAGAGAUACCAUGCUCUGCUUCCUGUUCUCUUUUUAUUCUGACUGAAUAAAAGCAUUCAAACCUCUCUCAGUUUAACAAAACAUUCCAACAACAACAACCUCCAAAAACCUGUUAUCCAUAGUAACUAGACAAAUCAUGGUAAUUGAUCUCUAGAGGGAGUUUAUUAAAGGCCUAAGUACAACACUUUCCAGAACGCUGCUGUAAUAAGCAGGAACUCAAACAAAUGCUCAGUUUGCUAUCUGCAUCUCAUCACUUGAUACAUUUUGAACAACUGGCUUGAAAAAGGCUUUUUUCCAGAAAAAGGGAUGCACAUUCUGGUGGAUUGAGAAAUAUUUGUAGCAAAUUCACUUCAAUACCAGAAAAUUUAUAGAGUUUACGCAUCACUGUAGGUAAAAAAAAGUUAUAAUAAGAACAUCUGCUGCUUCCAAUGUAUCUAAAUGCAUGUAAGUUUGCACCAGUAAACCUCAAUGAAGUCCUGUAUUCAAGAGCAUUAGUCUGAUAAUUAGCAAAGUAUUUUAUAGCCUAAGAAGAAUCAAAUAUUUAAUUACUACCUGGUAGUAGAAAAGGGUAAUUCAGACAACAGCAAGCAAUGAAACAACCCACACCACAAACGCAGACAAACAUCUACAGCUAAUACUGUGUUUGGAGCAAAAGCAAAUGUCUGGAGGUGAAUUAGAAAAAGCUGAGUUUAAUAAAAGCUUAACUGAGCUGCCCACAAUGGAAAGAAAGUACUUUGAGGUUUCACAGGGCUCAACCCCUCCCCUCCAAAAACCUCCCCGUCGGGAUAUCGAAUGACAGCACACUUAACGAAUGAACAAACUAAUCAGAAGCAUUACAUCAAACUUUCAUUAUUUCAUCAGUUUUUAGGGAUACAAUGCUGGGACUGUCUAAAAACUCAUGUGUAAAUCCUCACCCCCCACCACGUUAAUUCCUUCCUAGGUAUCACCUCCACGUGUGGAUCUGUCAUUACCCACUCAGAUGGACAUUAUUUAUCAUGACAUGGGUAAUCCCUUACAGCCUACAUGCUGGUGGUGACUUGUGGAGUCUUCAAGGGUUCCACUGCUGUAGCCUUGGUUUUGGCCUGCUCCUUGGCCUGGGUGGUAGGCGAAUAACUGAAUGAGGCCCUCUCAGCAGACCCAAGGUUAGUAUUAGAAAUCUGGGGGUGAAUCUGCGGUGCAGCUGACAAGCUCUCAGGUGUGCUAGACAACCCCAUGGUAGGCCUCACCUUCGUAAUAUUUGGAAAUCUCAUCAGAAUCACAUCAGGAAUUAUGUUUGCAUUUUUUUAAUUAUGUUAGCAUACAUUUUUGUUCAGGCGUUAAGAAAUAUUACCCCCGAAAGAUCCCCCUGCUUUGAACUGGUUGAGCAAGUGGAGAAUGAAAAAUCUGUUUAUCAGUCUGAAGUGUUUUCUCCACCCUUACUAUUAUUGCAUACUUUUACCAAUUUACAAUAAUCAAUAAUAGUUUUCUGAAUUUUUCUGAAGAUCCUGCUCUGCAAACCAUACUUGUUAUUAUUUAUCUUGUAGCAGCUGGAAGUGUAGAAAGUGAUUGCAUAGAUAAACAAGAGUCGUACUCACUGCUGUGAAGAGUUUUCAGUCUAAAAGGGAAUGUCAAUAGCUAAUGACUACAAUUAACCUUGCUUAAUGUGGUAGCAGAAAAGGAACUAAGCUGAUUGUCUGUUCUGAAGACUGUACCCUGAAGUCCCUGCUGAAGUUACAGCUGUGUAGAAUAUAUAUAUUUUUUCAAUAGUUUUGUUCUACUGCUUCUUAGAAGAGCAGUCGAUAGAAAUAAUGUCAUUUAACUAUUCUUCUGCAGACCUGCAUCAAUACAAAUGAGAGCCUUGGAAAGGCUCACUUUAAAGUCAUAUGGUGAAAAACUGACUAUUGUUACAAUAAGAGAUUCAGGGAGUAAAAUCUACUAAAUGGUGUCAUAAUUCUAAUUGGUUUUAAGCCCCGCGCAAGAAGAUUACAUCAGAUGCUGGUGAGACAAUUGCAUGAUCCAAAGCCUGAAAGCUGAAACUAAAAAAAUUCAGGUAAGAAGUGAGCUGCAAGUUAUCACCUGUGAGGGUAGGUAACUCUUGGGUUAGCCUUCCAAACAACUGGCACAUGCACUGCCACCUGAAGGACUGAAAGCAAGACUGAAUUGCUUCCUUACAGUGUACACUGUAAGUCAACUACAUGUCAGAGGGAUUUCACCAGGAAAUCCUGGGUAAAGUUGUGUGCUCUUUGUAAUACAGAAGAACAAACUAAUUUAUUACACUGCUGAGGCGUGGUCUUAAAAUAUAUGAAAUACUAAAAGUGACAGUAUAUAAACAUUGACAUAAGCAGAGUAUGUUGCAUAAGACAAUACAAAAUACCAGGUGGAAGGGAAGGGAUUAUGUCCUAGAAUGAAGAGUGGCAGCAAAAAGGAAACAUUAUGCUUUCCUAGGCUCUAAGGUGGUCAUAUAAAACAAUGGGAUUGUUUGCAUUAAAGAAAAUCUGAAGUAUUAAAACACAACAAGGAAAUGGGUGGAUCCCUAUGAGAAGUCAUCCUUCUUCAAGAAAUGGCACGCAGAAAUAAUUAUAUCUAGGACCAGGCUGGGUGACAGUUGUUGUAAAAGCUUUAUCUCCUUUGGUAUUAAAGUUUUAGUCAAAGCGUCCCAUAUGGAGUGCUGUCCUGAUAAGGGGAAAAGGAUUAACUUGCAGGACUGGACAGAUGAAGCAAUUCUUAGUGCCAGUUUAGAAGGAAAGGUAAGUCACAGUUCUUACAAAAAAUCUUUAAAGCACUAAGGAGAAGAAUAUUUGCCACCUCUGCAUGAAAAUCCAUUUCAGUGCAAAAAUGACUACAGAAAGUCUGAAUCUACAGUUUGACUUGUGAAUGGCACAACUAGGUGCUGACUGGGAUCACAGAUUCAUAGAAAUGUGAGCUGGAAGAGAUGUCCAGAGGUCAGCCAGUCUGGCCUCCUGCUCAAAGCCCUAUUUCAGGAGAGCCAUGACUUUGUCUAGCCAGGUCUUGAAAAUUUUCAAGGAUGCAGAUUUCACCACCUCUCUGGGUAACCUGUUCCAAAGAUACAAUAUCCUUCUGGUGAGGAAAUUUUUCCUAAUGUCCCAUCUGAAAAAUGAUGUUCCAGAUAUCAACAGAUUUAAUUGUUUCACCAGUGAAAGCCUGCAAGAAAAAAUUUACAAAAAUCUAAAUCAGUGUUUCAUGCUGUGUGAAGAGCAUCUAGGGAAGCUGAGUGGCUCCCAGGGAUCUACACUGUGUGUCCGCAUUCACAUGGUUGACUUGUGACACUUUGUGGUGCCAGAAAUUUCUGAGGAUUUUCAAACUUGCAUCUCAGCACUUUUCAGAAUGUGGUCUUCUGGGGAAAGAGAUGUCAAAUGGACUUUUGCAUGACUAUUUUGAUUGCUAUAUGCAUUAAUGAAUAUUUUUUUACAUAUAUGUGCACCCCCCCAACAUGCACACAUAAAAAUUUUAUGUAGCAUGAAAAUUUGUGUCAAAGCACCAUAGUUCUGUGUUGACAGUAGAAAUAAUUUAACAGAAACAUUUUAUUUUCAUUACUUUAGGAAUUUAGGUAGCUUUUACUACACCAUGUGUUUGUAUAACUAGACUAGAAUUAAAUAAACCAUUGUGGAAAUACUAAUUUGUAUGUAUUUGAGUACAUGGGCAUAUGGCUAUAGCCAGUAUUUUUAAAUAUGGAAAAGUAUUCUCACAAUUUUGGACAGUACUACCCAGGAAAAAAAGCGUUUUGAAACGGCACCACAAGAAUUCCAUAGAUAGGUGUUCAUAGUGAAUGUAGGAAUGCAACUAAAUGUUGGCAUAUCUAUCAGCUUGGUGUAACCUCAGGUAUUUUCUGAUUCCCACUCGUUACUCCUCCUUCUGUUGAAUGAUACAUGUGCGUAUGACUAAAACCAGAUGGACAAAGAUAUCCUAAGUAUUGUGGUCAUAGUAUUCCUCUAGCUGCCUUGCUCUAAGAAUAUAGCUGGAAAAAACGGGCAACCUCCUGGGCGGUAAACCUGACUUCAGCCACUUUUGGUGUGACACUGGUGGAAGCUUGGAAGAAAAGAGAGAAGUGUAUAAUGAAGAUCCCACUAAUAUUUCCUUUGGUGCAGGAUGCUCACUCGAUGGGCUUAUGGAGCGAGCAUCUGAGCAAAGGAUCAAGCAUUACUAAACCUCCAAUGUGUGUGACCAUAGUACAAGUGUAGCACAGUGCAGAAAUAGCUAAGGUGGCUUUAAGUGAGCAUGCUCAAAUGCUGGCCACAGUUGCACUGCAGAUCAGCCUGCCAAGACAUGGCAUGUGCCAAGACAUAACUUACCCUCUGCUGAUCUCCAGGCCACUGCAAUUAACUUGGUCUCAGUAUCUGAGCCAGCACAGGUAUUUCCACAACAUGCUGCAGCCUGAAGCACGAACAUAUCCCUUAAAGUGAAGAACUGGUCAAUGCUGAAAAAAGCUUAGAACCUCAUCAGUGCAAACGUGGAAAAAAGGUGACUUGACUAAUUCAUGUACAAAUGUACUAAUGAAAGUCUAAUUAAAUCUAACACCUUGGAAAGGCCAAUAAACACUGUUGCAGUUGGUGGCUUUCCAUCCACUGCUACUGAGAUUUAUUAAGAAGCUUAGCUUUUCUGAGAAAGGAUUACCAAAGUGAGGAUGCCGCCAAUUUUUUAUGUUGAUUUACAAAAAUAGUGAGUCUAUAUCAUUAGAAUAGCAUUACAUUCUUCUGAAAUUUCUGACUUUCUAUAAAGGAUCAAACGGUAUUUCAAACCUGAACAAUGCUUAUGCUAAUGUAUAGUCUGAGGAUCUUUAACGCAAUCAUGCAAUCUGAUUUAAAAGGAGAUCUCUGGGACUUUGGCAAGGGUACAAGCACAGUGAGCCCUUGUACUGUGAUAAUAACCUUGAACAAGCAGUGCCCUAAGAAUAACCUGCAGCAAGAGUAUAUGGCCUGGAAAGAUCCUUAUCAGAGUGUGGAGGGCUUUUGGGUGCAUGUAGAUUUAUCUGUUUUGCUUUAUUUUUCUGAGUGCAUGCAGAAUUAUGUAUAACAUGGCAGCAAAAGGAAAGUUUGCAUCAUUAAGGAAUGUAAAAUGUGGCUGCUUCUUGUAUUUCACCUAACAGAAUUAUUUGACUAUUCCACCAAAAUUGCUUAGAGAUGCUCCCUUUAGAAAGGUAAAUCCACUAAGGAGAUAUGCUUCCUGUAAGAAUUCUUGUAGGUGCAUUCCCAGUAGCCUGGAAAGUGUUGUUUCCUUUGCACAUUUUUGCUUUCAUUAAAUCCUUUGUUGGGAGAAGUACUAGAAAGCUGUCAUUUAGGAAGUGGUGCAAAGUGCACCUCAUCCUCACUUUGUAUUUAUUACAGACUUCCUAUGGAGUCUUCAGGAGCUUUUGAGUUUAAUUUAGUUUCUGAAAAAAAUUAUAUGUUUAAGAAGUGGAGGCUAAUAGCUUCUGAUGAAGAAAGAGCAUACACUAAAUCUGAUUUUUUUUGCUGUGUGCAUAGGCAUUGCCUGUUAAACGUACAGUAUGCUAAAAAGGCCCAGUUCUCCUCUAGCAUUUCUUAGGAGUCAAGAUUAACACCGAUGAAGUGAAACUCAUCUCCACAACAGUGAGUUGCUAAGUAGCAGCUCUUGGUGGACUGGUCAUUUGUCUUUCUACAGCUUUUUCAUAUUCUGGCCUCAGAAGCAUAAACAGCUCUAUGAACUGGCUUUGGAUAUGGCUUGAGCCCUGCAAAAAUGCAUCGAAGGCUAUUCAGAGUGAAGAUGUGGAUACAAACUCUGGCUCAAGAAGACCACUAGCUGCAGAUUUCCAGAAGCUAGAAGGGUAUGCUGAGAGAAACGAGACUGUAUGCUUCUCUGGUGCCCACGAUUUUUGAUCAGGACUCUGCUAUUAGCCCACGUUGUGCACAACCCACUGGGGCAAGCAGAUCUCUGGUCUGACUCACUAGAGCCGUUCUUACAUUUAAAGGGGAGAGAAAUGGACUGUCUUUUAGGCAAUGGGCUUUACAAAUGUGCAGUUGCCUUUUAUUCACUGUUUCAAGUCUUUUCUGCCUGUGUGAAGCUUAGUUACUCGUCUAUAUAGAGACAAAGUGACUUAACAUCAGUGGCGCUGACCUAUAGGUCCUUGCUCCCCUGGACACACACUGACUAUUUAGCCUAAGCCUUCAGACGAAAGAAAAGCCACAGCCCGCCACAGCCUGCAGCUCAGAAAUUAGAGGCACAACUUAGUGAUAAUAUCAUGUUGUAUUUUAACUUAAUUCUGUUUAACUUUGCAGAGUUAAGCAACGGGAUUUAAAGGCCUGUUCUGUAAUGGACAAAAGAGGAUAGAAGGGCACAGAGAGCUUCUUGCACAGAGGUGAUGAUGUAAGACCUCACCACAAAUCCUAGGCGCAUAGGUGGAAGAAUCGGUGCUCUCUAGCCCCAUCUCCCAUCCGGGUGAUUGUGGAUCAGGACAGAGUACUGCAGUAGGUGAAAGAUCCCGGCGCUGAACUGACGAUAGCAUCGCACCUUUAACAAGCUUGCAGACUGAUGAAUUCUUACCAGCGACCGUGUUCACCGAGCAAGCUUUAAAUUCAGAAAAGCAAGCAUGUAGCUUAACUGAAGGGAAGGUAAUCCAAGAACUGAUGAUAUUAUUAGAUAAAUGCCUAAAAGGACCAGCUAUAGUAAAGAAUAAGCUCUCAACUUCUUUCCUAAUGGACUGUGGCUCCUUCUAAGGAAAAAAAAGUGGUUUUAUUAUUCCAGUCUUUUACCAGAAUGUGCUAUCAUAGCAUAUCAUGGGGAUAUGCAUGAAGAAACAGGAAAAGCAAUAUACACAUGUGCAUGGCAAUGUCAAUUCAAAAUAUAGGGAGAAAAAUUACUUCUAGGAUUUCAAACAUGUCCAUUAAGUUAAAACAUCACUCAUCUGAUAUUUGAUGAAAACUUGGCUGGAGUGGAACUGUACCAAUGCCACAGACCAAAGCCUAAAUGGAGCGGGUAGCAACAGGAAUUGAAACUGCUCUGGGAAAAACAAAUGAACAAACUGACACCGCCAUACAUGUUCUUAGAGGUCUCUCUCCCCACAAAUAAUAUAAAGCCCCCUGGUCUCCAGAGAAAUGGAAAUGGCUCUUACUUUACAAAAGGCCCUUCAGUGCUCGGAGUCUAGAGAGAAAAGACACCACCGGCUCCCUGCACCUGGUUGCCUCCCGCGGGGUGCUGCUCAGCUCAGCUCCUUCCAGUGCCGCUGUUGAACAUGUGCAAUAGCCACGGGCGGUAGUGCAAGACGAAACAGUGCCCAGAGCCAUGCCAGGUUCCCCCCUUCUCCCUCCACUGCCACUGAGUGCUAGGCGAGAGCCCACGGGGGCAGAGCCGCCUGCCGCAGGAUAUGCCGCCGGCCACGGUGUCCCGUCCCCAGCAUGCAGGUCUGCCCAUCACCCCAUGCUGCUCUGACGUGAAGCUGCUUGGACGGACAUUUCACCCCAAAGCUGGCACCUCCGGUGACACGCCGCCCCGAGAGCGACUUAAGGAAGUCCUGGCCCUGGGGCCGGCCAUGCACUGCCCAGUGCCUCCCAGGAGCCUUCAGCACCCUCCUGACGCACCAGGAGAGCCUGAAGAAAAACUAUUCCCUUUCCACGGCUCUCUCCCUUCUCCUAAUUUCUGUGCAAGUUCUCCAGGAGAUGUUUUGCAGUGCGCUUGCACUCAGGGAGGUUUCUGCUGCGUUGAACGGCCCAUAGUUUUAUCCUGCUCAUUCUGAGCUGGGCUGACACAGAUUUCCCAAGCCCUGCUGUAUUCCACAUGGCUUGUGGAGAGCAGCCCCAGACAAGCCUCUUUGACGCACUUGUUUUGCCUAUUACUUAUUUAGCUGCCACCACCAGACAGAAGUCUCCAGGGAAAAUAGCAGUUUGCAGAAACUUAAUUUUUUCUUUAGCCAGUUGUGACAAAGUAUCUGAGUGAAUUUUUGCCCACUGGGACUAUUUUAAAAUACAGUCACAUAACAAUCCAUGUAUAAAAAUCAUAUAAAAAAAUUUUCAGACAUCCUUUAGUUGCGGUGAUUUAAUUUCUGGAAACAGUUUCUGGUUUGGGUCUCCACUUACAAGCCAAAAAUGCACAUUUCCACACUUGGCCUAUAACAAAGGCCCCUGAAAUUGAAACAAAGGGACAAAAGUGACUUUCUUUUUAGGGAUCUGGUAGUUGACAGGGAACUACUAUGGGAAACAGAUGAGAAACACAGCCUCCAACUGAGCUGUGUGAAACAGCCCGUUGCUGUCUGUUACUACAAAAAAUGGCAGGCACAUAGAACUGUUUUUUUCUUUUUGAUGCUUUUUCUCUUAUGCUCUGUUUUAUCUUUUAUGAAACACAAGAAAUUAUUUUGCUUAGGGGGACUGUCCUGGCCAUACUUACCAAGUCCAUGCACCGCUCAGGGAAGCCGGGCAGACCGGCAGGUAAAUUCAGCUGGCGGGCGCCUGGCCCUGGGGCCAGCCGAGCGCAAGGGAGCCCUCGGGGAGGGACGAAGCCCACGGCCUGGCUGCAGUGUGCGCGCGGGAGCCCGCGCACAAGGAAGGACGGUUGCAGCGCCAUAGAAAAUAAGUUGGCCUGUGGAGAACUGCAAGUCGUUCAUGACCAGCUUGUCUCCUGGGGCUGGCCGGGACUGGUUCCCACAGAGCUCCUGAGCAUUUUUUGAACAGGAAUAAUAAAUUAUUAUCUAUUUUUGCCAAAUGGUUUAAUUGAAAAAGGAAGAAACAUCAGUUUUACAGAUUGUUCAUCCAAAAAUGCUGUUGCCUCUAAAGCACAUGUUAUCUGCAUGCUUUAAGAUGAGUCACCACGGUCCUGCUAUGUCUGGAGAGUGAACAAAUUAAAGAGCCAAACCUGUCUCAGAGCAGGCAGUUUCUCAAGGGGUAGUUUAGCCCUGGCACAGGUUACCAAAGGAGUCUAUGCAAUUCCCAUCCUUGCAGAUCUUUAGGAACAAAUUACACAAACAGCUGCCAGGAAUGAUGGGCAGGUGCAAACCAGAAGGAGGGGAGGACUACAUCUCGCCAUCUCUUGUGGUCCCACACAGCUAUGAAAAGACCCUUUAAUAAGACACUUUGCAUUUCAUUGCUAGUCACAGAUGGUAGAAAAAUACACCUUGUAUAUAUUUAUUAUCAAUUGGAGCACACAGGAAUAACUCUGAGUGAUUAUUUCUGCUGUCAUCCAGAAACGAUGUUCAUGGGACAAGCUGACAUCCAGGAUUCGCCUACAUUACAGCCUGCUGCUACCUACCUGUGUGCAUACUAACUCCCUCUGAUGGAGGAACACAGCGUAUGCUAGGAGACCUGGCCUCUGCCUAGUCUGAAGCUGAACAUUUGAGGGCUCUGGGCAAUUACAGCAACAGAAAUAGAAGAGAACUGGAUCCUUGAGAGACCUACUUGAUAGAGGAGCUUUAUUAGUUAGUGUGACAGACCAAGCUGGUAGGUACGAAGAUUUACCUUCCAUACAGGAAAAGGCACUUGGUUUUGUUAAUUGGUUAAUGGUGCAGUAAAGCCUCAGGGUGUGUGACCAUUUAUAUAGCAGCUGGACUGUUCUGACAUCAAGGAUGUUGAUGAAAUAUUUGCAGGGUCACUUGACCCUACUGAUGUUGUUAAUAUUCAAGUGCUGUAAAUAUAAACGAAUUGAUGUUUAAGCAAUGGAGUAAAUUGUCCUCAGUAUAUGACCAUAUAUGACUUACAACGAAUAUAAAGUAGUCUGAGUUAUAAAUGGCUUGUUUAGGACUUGUUCUUUGGAAUUUAGGCUAAAUUAAAUUUAUUUUUAAUUUCUUGGUCAUCGGGUUCUGCCCAGACAGAGAAAUUAUGAGAAUAAAAGUGAUGAGCUGCUAGUUAGGUGUUGCUUUGCAAUAAGAUUUUAGAAUAGAAGAUUACUGAUGUUGUACCUUGGUUGCAGCAAAAAAUAAACCAAAGGGGUUUCUCAUCAUAACCUUUGUCACAACUUAAAAGUGAGCAGCAAGAGACAAACCUAGUGAAACGUCAGAAAUACUUGGGCUUUAUCUAGUCUCAGUCUAAUCUGAGAGUCCAUAUGCAGUGCCCAAGGCUUGUAACAGAGACCAAGACAAUUGAAACUCUUGUAGUCCAGAACUGGGUGGCAGGCAUGCUUGAAAACCAUGUUUGACAAAGGCUUCAGAUGGACCUGGGUUGAUCUGUUAACCUAUGUGUUAGCUUGCUGUGGACAUACCAUAACCUGCUUCAGAAUUUGUACUAUGCUUAAUACGUUUACACUUUGCAAUACAGCAAAAGCACAUUCAGCAUGAUGUAGUGUAUAAUAGGUAAUUGAUGAAAUUUAACAGGAAGUCCACAGGAAGAACUGCAAACCAGAUGAGAAGGAACUGAGACAUCCAAGAACACAGCCAGGCUACUGGAAUAACUUAGUGGCACAAAAUAGUAGCCUUAGUUCAUUUUAUCCCUCAUCUCCAUGAGUCUUCACAUCUGCUUGGCUUUGAGAAAUACUCAUCCUCAGGCUCUGAACCUUUCCCUAUGAAUCUGACAAGCCCAUAUUUACUUCUGGGCACACAUUUUUUCUGCAAAUCUGGGGGAAGGGGGCAGAGCUGUCCCUAAAAACCCAGGCCAACAGGUAAGUCCCAGUAAUGACAAAUGUAUUACAUGUCUGGGAUCUUUUCUUACAUGGCUAGCUACAGCAGAGUGUGUGUGUGCGUGUGUCCGUGUGUGUGUGUGUGUCCGUGUGUGUGUGUGUGCACUCAUGGUACCUUAUUGGUAGAUGGUCUGCAUUUGUGUGUGAAUAUUCUCCUCAGUACCUGGGUGACUUGUAAACAAAGCCUGCAACCUUUUCCAUUUCCACUCUCCCAGCCUCGAUUACUGUCUUCCCUGGUAUCAGCUCCUUCAUCAAAAUAACAUCUGAUCUAUUCCUAAGGGAGAGGGUGUUACGCAAACUAGACAGGACAUCAAAAAUCUCUUGGAACUCUGCCUCAAAGUGAGCAGAAAAACAUAUCUGGGCUAAAGCAGGUCCUCUCUAUCACUGGAGGGGUCAUGACCAGAAGAGGCAUGCUGGAAGGAACUGUAAUUUCAAGAGAUUUUGUCAGGGUAUGAGUCUUGCAAUGAUAAACUUGUUAUUCAUUACAAUCUCUGGAAAAUUAUGCUUAUAUCCUACGAUAUCUCCAUGUUUGUCUCCCUCAAGAGUUCGUACUCAUUCAUGGUAUGUGGCAUAUCAUUUUCACGCAGAGGUAUGUGAUCAACAGUAAUAUAUCUCGAAGCAUUAUGGAAUGCCGUAAGUUCCUGGUCACAGGAGGACUGAGAGAUUGGAGGUGCAAGGGACCACGCUCCCAGCAGGGCUAAGAAAGAAACUGAAAGAGCUAUGGCUCCUGCCGUAGCAAAUCUCCUCUCAUCUCAAGGGAGAAACUAGGAGACCUAGAUGAUCCGACUAUACUGAGAAUUGUAUCAUAAGUAAAAGACCUAAAAGAGUGGGUGUGUUUGCCGGCCCUUGCUGAACUAAAAACAGAAGGCUUUCCUUAUGCACUGACCCAGAAUAUCUGAAUAGAUGAAAAGAGGCCAUUUUCCACUGUCUACAAAUGGAGAAACUCUGGAAGAAGGGACUGAUGCCAAAUAUUUUUCUAAGCUUGAUGUGUCAGAAGGGCUUUGGCAAGUGCCUUUAGGAAAACAGCUCAUGUUUGCACAUAUUCACCAACCUUUUUGGGAGACAGUUUCUUCAGACUGCCAGUUGGGUUGUGUUUGGCACCUGAAACAUUUUACUGGAAAAUACAACAUGUUUUUGUUGCUGUAGAAAGUAGUAAGGUUUACAAGAUUAUGUUUUGGUCUGAGGAAAAACAGUAAAAGUGCAUGGCUGGGGACUUCAAGCAGAAAGAGCCAAAGUUUCUGGUUAAAGCUAAACAAGCAAAAGUAUAAACUCUCUCUAAUGGAAAUAACAUACUCAGGAGAAUAAUUAACACAGUGAGGAAUACAAGCAGACCACAGUACGGCGUAGGGCAUCACAAACAUGCCUGGUCCCAUAGACAAGGAAGCGGAAUAAAGAUUUAAUAGAAUUAUGAACUCUGGGUGGAUGUUUGUGCCUAACUUAGCUAAAAUAAUGCCUCUGAUUCUCUCAGGAGUACAUCUCUGGUAGCUUUGGUAUUAAGAUAUCAGGUAGCUACACGAGACUGGCUCACUUCACACAUACAGUGAUUUUUUGAAAGCUAGGAACAUUUGCCUUUGACUAUGUGAAUACCUGUGUAUACCAGGCUGCAACUUUGCCCUAGGAAAGGCAUUUUUAGAAAUGAGAAUCUGUAGAGCAGUACGAAAGCCAGCCUGCUCUGACUCAGGUGUGACUUCAGGUAUGUCUUUCAGUUGCAUGAUGGCCCUGAGGCUGUCAGACAAUGCUCUUCCUAGUGCUUGCAGCGUGCCCAGUAACCUCAUGUAUCCCCAAGGAUGUUUGUGUCCUUGAGCUGUGACCCUGGGACAGUUGUGCCAGCAGACCAGCUCAAGAGAUCACUUGGUGCUAUGAUUUUAUAUGGUGAGCUCUUUAGAUUUAAGGGUUACACUAGCUGAUGAGGCCUUCUUAUGACCUGUGAGGCCUGGUGAUGAGGCUUGCUUGGGUUUGGACAGCAAGAAUACUUGGGGCUAUUGCAGUACGAAGAACAGGAGAAGCAGGAAAAGUUAAUAGGAGAGAAGGUUCUCCUCUAUUAAGA